rnacentral:lncRNA from 1 species
GAGAAACUUGCUUGCUAAGUUGAUUCUUUGACUAUAUUUAACCUAAUAUUCACUCUUUAAGAAAAUAUUGCCAAGAUAAGACUGAAAAUGUGGCUAGCAGAUUUAAGAGAACAACAUGGACCCACAUCGCAUAUAUUGAGGUACCUCUACUUCUUUUUUGUUGUUGUUAAAUUUUUUAAAAGGCUAGUGUGGGAGGAGUGUGCCGCUUAAACCACUUGUUUAAAGCUUUAAAACAAAAACAGUAUGAGGACGUAAACUAGAAUUGCCCACAGUCCCUACAGACAAGACCUCAACAGAGACUACAGACUCAGCGAACGCUAAAUGUUCUCACAGCACGGCCAGUGUGGCACAUCGCUGUUGCCUUUAUUGGCCUCAAUUCCUACUGUGAGCAGGAGGCGCUGGUGACUGCCCACAGUCUCCGACACUUGACUUGUGCUAUUGCACGACCCAUUAGGUCAUUAUUUGACAUGGAGGAAUAAUCAAAGGUGAUACGUACUG